rnacentral:rRNA from 1 species
UACGUAGGUGGCGAGCGUUAUCCGGAAUUAUUGGGCGUAAAGGGUGCGCAGGCGGCUUUUUAAGUCCGUGGUAAAAUACUGAAGCUCAACUUCAGGAGGCCAUGGAAACUGGGGAGCUAGAGUGCAGGAGAGGGUAGUGGAAUUCCAUGUGUAGCGGUAAAAUGCGUAGAUAUAUGGAGGAACACCAGUGGCGAAAGCGGCUACCUGGCCUGUAACUGACGCUCAUGCACGAAAGCGUGGGGAGCAAAUAGG